UGUGUGCGCAAACCGACGCCAGCUUCUGAGCGGACACGUCAACAUAGGCGUCCUAACUUGUCGCCACGUAAGCCUCAAAUCGAUAGGCCGUCAGUUACGAACACGGUGGUAGUACUAUACAGAUCAGCAGUUUAUUUUCCUUACGUCGGAUAACGUUGCUCCUGGUACAAGUGUCGUUGAAGGAGAAAUAGGUAUAUUUCUCUCGACAAACGAAACAGGUGCAGGGCUCCCAUUCCAGAAUACUUUUUUUUUUACAUCUAGAGUCGAUACAUUUUCGCAUCGCAGCGAUUUUGUAAGCGAAUCUUCGGACUUGCUAUCUGUGUUUUCUUUGACUGUCACUCGGAUUUACCACAGAGCAUUAUAAUAGACAAAUUAUCGUGUGAUUCAUAACAAACUGUCGAUGGUCCAACCGUAAGUGGAAAUGCGAAUGGACCUUAAACGAGCCACAUUACCAUCUUUGUGCUUGUGACCGUGUCCGCAAAUCUAAACAAACAAAAAAAAGCCAGACCAUUGCCAAGUCCGUAGGCCAGAGGCCUAAACAAGAUAAGCAAAUCCCGCAUCAAACUUUACCGAUCACGAAUAGCGUACGUGAUAUGACGAAGAAAGUUAGAGGGAAGGCAACUUUUUUUUAGGACCUCUUCUUGUGUCGCUGCCUAAAUUUGCCGAACUUCAGAUUAAUUCUAUUGCACAGAUAGGCUACAUCAAUAUUCGAAGUGGUUAACCAGAGCUAUUCACCUGAAUAGUUUUGUGCUUAUUCGCUACUGGACAAAGCAUCAGUGCGUGUACCUUUUUCAAGUAACUACGCUAUAUUAUUCGAAAAGGAUGCAGUUUCUGCCGGUAGCAUGGGCAGUUGCCAUCGCUUUGGUGAUGGAAACCACGAUUUGUAGUCGACGACGUUCGCUAGUAUGGGGCCCCCAUGGGAGGGGAGUGUCCGCGGGGGCGAGGCCAGAUCGACACUGGGGUGAACGCGAAGUUUUUCACGGCGACUUUUCCAUCGACGAAAGUCAACUCGGCGGAAAGGUUAUGGUGUUUAAGGUGCCUGGUUCGUUAGGGAAAGUGAGCAAACAGGACUUCCCUCGAGGAAUGAAAAUUUUCAUCAAUGAUGUUGACGAUAGGGAGUCAACAUACAUUGAGGAUUCAGAAGGGUAUCACUAGUAAAGAGCAAAGAACGGAUAUAUAGAGAACAAAAUAUAGGAUUCAAAUGCUUGUUAAUCAUCUUAUUUGAUUCAAUUUUGCCGUAAUCGCCAUAAGUUGUACUACUGUAUAUGCCAAAUAGAGUCAAUAUUAAGGAAGUUCUCCAAUAUUAUUUCCGAUCUUGCUCGGAAUAGUUGCAUCGAAAGCUAAGGCCUUUCCGAGCGGAGGCUAAUCAGAUCAAAGGCCUGUUUUUGGCUUGUGUUCCUCGUGAGUUUCAAUUAAAAGAGAAGCAUGUAUCAGCUUUACUUAAGGAAACUAUGUCAAUUUAGCUAAGGUUGAUUGCGGCCCUCUGCUAAUAGAUACUUAGGAAUCUGGUGUGAACCUAUUUGACCUUUUGUUGCAACAGGAAAAUUGUUGUGACUGAUAUAGGUCUGAGUACGAGUUUGAAUUUAUGGUUUACUAUGAAUGCUAUAGGAAAUGUAGAAAAACGGACCAACGUUUGGAACAACAGUUUGUUUCGAUCAUCUGUAUUCAGUGGCUAUAUUCGUUGUGAAGCGUAAUGAUUAGAUGUUAAAUACCAGUGUACCGUAUUGACGUUGGUAACUAGAUGGUAAAGAACUGGAAUCGGAUGUAGUGAUUUGUUAAUUAGAUCCCGUUCGUAAUAGCCAGGCCGCGUCUAACUCCGUUAUCGAGUAUAGCGAGCAGAAAGCCCUUUGUGACAACAAAAAAAAAAGGUAGACUAUAGAUGUUUCAAAGGGACAGUUAAGUAUAUCAGAAGAUACUAAAAACUGCAAUUUAGCUAUUGUUAUUAUUGUAUGUAUUACCGACCCAGUAACUGUAUGCCUGCGAUUAAAUAUCAGUAAAUGUUAAAAUUUAAGACUCUAGCCAUAAACACUGCUCAGUUAUUAUAGGGUUUUUAUGAGAAUUCUGAAGAGGCACGAUAUUCAUUUUUCAAAUCUGCAGACAAUGUCACAGAGACUUGCAAAACCUAGAAACCACAAUACCGUUUAUUAUAUAUAGUGAUAAUAAUUACAGUAAUAAUAAUUAUUUUUACUAUUUCCCAGUUUUCAAUCAUAGUUCUAUUGAUUGACUUAAAAUGCGCUAAGGCAAUACACCCUUCGAAUAGCCUUAAUUCAAUACAGGAAAAUUCAAUUAAUAUCAGAAAGUUAUAGUUGUUCUGCAAGAUUUUUAGAUUAUAAAUUAAUAACUGAAAUCGCCAACUAUAUGUGUGUAUGUAUAUAUACACACCAAAAAUAUAGUUUUUAUACCCAUCGCAACGCAUUCUCAAGGUUUUUUUUUUUAGCGGAUUUUGCAGUAAAGCAACGCAACUAGACUCAUUGGAGAUUAACUGUAGCAAGAACUUCCUUGAGAUAAUUCCGGAACAAGGUUUGUUCUGUUUUUCUGCCUACAAAACAUGUAAUCUCCAAGGAAACGUGUUACUUAUUCAAAGAGAAAUGGGUUUAGAAGACAGCGUUUCCACUAAUCGAAAACGAUCUAUAACGAAAAAUAACAGUAACACAUUUUUUAUAAAAUACAUCCACAAUUAAUAAGCUUUUUGGCUGGGGCCAUGUUGGGCACAGUUCCUGCAAAAAGGUUACAUAGAGAAAUAGUUUUGACAAAGCUAAUUUUUUUUACCCACUUUUGAUACGGUACAUUUAAAACUCGACAUUAACGCUUAAUAGGGCAUUUAGUUAUUUUAGAGUUCUUUGAAUACAUUCUUUGUAAUCUCCACAAUAUAUAGGGAACAUUGAAAAACUUAUGGGAAAUGACAUUUCAGCAGGUUAUUCUUCUUCUACAGGUUAUUUUUGUCUUUCAAAUAAUUCCGUUGUGGAGAAAAUAGCGUUGUCAAUUUAUCGGAAAAAAGCUAAACAAGCCUGAAAUUCAUUAGAUGCUUUGGAGAAGGAAAACGUACAACUUCAGCCGAAGUAUCAGUAAGCAACCAACGGAAAUGUAUUCUUUGUAUUGUUUUCGUAAAACUGCUUAGAGCAUUGAAGCAUAUUCUGAACGUGAGGUACCGCAGUUUUAUUCACUCUACAUCAUCCUGUUUGAACAACGAAACGCUAAAGCCUAAUGAAGAUUUUUCCCGCUGAAAGCCAACUGUGACUUCAUCAGUUAUAAUAGCCAUGAUAACUAUUUAUAAAUUUACGCUUUUCGUUAUAGUGACAUGGUCGCAUGAGCUAAAUCUGUAUCCUUAUUACAGACUUCAGCGUUCCUUUUUGGUUUGGUCUGUCAUCGCACCAAUUAUUACAUCACCAACCUUCGGUAUAAAUUGUGCAAUCUAUUCCGAUCAGCUCAACCACCAACGUCGAUUAGGAAAUGCGCUAUAAGCGCCUAGCGAGCGUCCUUUCAGCGCUUUGGACAUCACUUAAACUUCAGCACUUACUGUUCUUUGCUGAAUGGGAACAACAAUCGAUUUUAACGGUGUUGGGCCACUGCCAGCGUAUAACAAAGUCAAAAUGGAUAAAUUUUUAUUAGUAUUGAUGAUAGGUAAAGCUGCUCCUAGAUACCGCUUUCUUAUCAUUGCACCCUACAAAGUUACAGAACUUUGAUCCGCUAAUAAGAUCUGCAAAUUGGAACUUAUUCAGCUGUCGAAAUACAUUUAGCUCAAAACGAAGUUACGCCCAAUUCCGAAUCUUCACGUAUCCCUUCACUGAUGUAUGAUUUGACCCCCCUUACCCUGAUCGAGCGUUGACAAUCAAUAACAAAUCCCAGUAACGCGUCGUACUCCGUCGAGCCGCAGUCGCUAUAACGAAUAGGGGCUAUUUCGUCGUUAGAUUGAUCGUCGUUGACUAAUAGUUGAGAUUCAUGGGUUAAGGUGGGGGGAAACAGAGAGGCCAGCUGUUGUAAGGCAUCAACACGUGGGGAAAUGCAUCAGCGCACUAAAAGGAAAGGAUUUUACCAGCUUGUUGUAUCUUCUGUCUCUAUCGAAUCUUCAAUAGGGUUAUUAGGUAUAAUGAUAAGGGGAUGCGCAAUAGCUCAACGAAGCUGAGCGAAUGCCUUCAAAACAACUGAUGAAUAUAAGGAUUUGGCGAUGCGGGCCGACCUAUGCGGCCUGCAGUCCUAGAGUGAUACGCCUACAAUGUGCUUGAUCACUGGCCAGCCUUCAGGAUAUCCAGGCGGUCGAGGAGAAAUUUCACCCUUCGUUUCGUAAAAUAAAGACGACUUGACUUGAGUAACCAUU